rnacentral:tRNA from 3 species
GGGUCGUUAGCUCAGUUGGUAGAGCAGCAGCCUUUUAAGCUGAUGGUCGCAGGUUCGAUCCCUGCACGACCCACCC